rnacentral:rRNA from 1 species
UACGUAGGGGGCAAGCGUUGUCCGGAAUCAUUGGGCGUAAAGCGCGUGUAGGCGGCUCGAUAAGUCUGCUGUGAAAGUCCAGGGCUCAACCCUGGAAUGCCGGUGGAAACUGUCGAGCUAGAGUCCGGAAGAGGCGAGUGGAAUUCCUGGUGUAGCGGUGAAAUGCGCAGAUAUCGGGAGGAACACCAAUGGCGAAGGCAGCUCGCUGGGACGGUACUGACGCUGAGACGCGAAAGCGUGGGGAGCAAACAGG